AUGAGACCCGGGUGCAAAGGGACUGGCAGAGGAGGCGGGCCAGGGCGUGUGCGAGGGGAGAGAGCGUGUGCGGGGAGGCGGGCCAGGGCGUGUGCAGGGAGGCGGGCCAGGGCAUGUGCAGGGGAGAGAGCGUGUGCGGGGAGGCGGGCCAGGGCGUGUGCAGGGAGGCGGGCCAGGGCGUGUGCAGGGGAGAGAGCGUGUGCGGGGAGGCGGGCCAGGCCGUGUGCAGGGAGGCGGGCCAGGCCUGUGCAGGGAGGCGGGCCAGGCCUGUGCAGGGAGGCGGGCCAGGGCGUGUGCAGGGAGGCGGGCCAGGGCAUGUGCAGGGGAGAGAGCGUGUGCAGGGAGGCGGGCCAGGCCGUGUGCAGGGAGGCGGGCCAGGCCGUGUGCAGGGGAGAGAGCGUGUGCGGGGAGGCGGGCCAGGCCGUGUGCAGGGAGGCGGGCCAGGCCUGUGCAGGGAGGCGGGCCAGGGCGUGUGCAGGGAGGCGGGCCAGGCCUGUGCAGGGAGGCGGGCCAGGGCGUGUGCAGGGAGGCGGGCCAGGGCAUGUGCAGGGGAGAGAGCGUGUGCAGGGAGGCGGGCCAGGCCGUGUGCAGGGAGGCGGGCCAGGGCGUGUGCAGGGAAGCGGGCCAGGGUGUGUACAGGGGCGGCGAGGCAGGGCGUGUGCAGGGAGGCAGGCCAGGCCGUGUGCAGGGGAGAGAGCGUGUGCGGGGAGGCGGGCCAGGCCGUGUGCAGGGAGGCGGGCCAGGCCUGUGCAGGGAGGCGGGCCAGGGCGUGUGCAGGGAGGCGGGCCAGGCCGUGUGCAGGGGAGAGAGCGUGUGCGGGGAGGCGGGCCAGGGCGUGUGCAGGGAGGCGGGCCAGGCCGUGUGCAGGGGAGAGGGCGUGUGUGGGGAGGCGGGCCAGGCCGUGUGCAGCCGCCGCGUGUCUCGCUCUGCAGGAUGGAGAACCUGUUCAUCAACCGCUUCAUGCACAUGUUCCAGUCGUCCUGGAACGACUUCGCCGACUUUGAGAAAAUCUUUGUCAGGAUCAGCAACACUAUUUCCGAGCGGGUCAUGAAUCACUGGCAGGAAGACCUCAUGUUUGGCUACCAGUUCCUGAACGGCUGCAACCCUGUGAUGAUCCAGCGCUGUCUGAAGCUGCCAGACAAUCUGCCGGUGACCACAGAGAUGGUGGAGUGCAGCCUGGAGCGGCAGCUCACCCUGGAGCAGGAGGUCGAGCAAGGGAACAUCUUCAUCGUGGACUUUAAACUGUUGGAUGGCAUCGAUGCCAACAAAACAGACCCCUGCACUCUGCAGUUCCUGGCCGCGCCCAUCUGCUUGCUGUACAAGAAUCUGGCCAACAAGAUUGUCCCCAUUGCCAUCCAGCUCAACCAGGUGCCGGGAGAAGAGAAUCCCAUUUUCCUCCCUUCGGAUGCAAAGUAUGACUGGCUGCUGGCCAAGAUCUGGGUGCGCUCCAGCGACUUCCACGUCCACCAGACCAUCACCCACCUUCUGCGCACACAUCUGGUGUCUGAGGUGUUUGGCAUCGCCAUGUACCGCCAGCUGCCUGCCGUGCACCCCAUCUUCAAGCUCCUGGUGGCACACGUGCGGUUCACCAUCGCCAUCAACACCAAGGCCCGGGAGCAGCUCAUCUGUGAGUACGGCCUCUUUGACAAGGCCAACGCCACCGGGGGCGGCGGGCAUGUGCAGAUGGUGCAGAAGGCCAUGCAGGACCUGACCUACACUUCCCUGUGCUUCCCUGAGGCCAUCAAGGCCCGGGGCAUGGACAACGCGGAAGACGUCCCCUACUACUUCUACCGGGACGACGGGCUUCUGGUGUGGGAGGCCAUCAAGACGUUCGUGGCCGAGGUGGUGGACAUCUACUACGAGGGUGACCAGGUGGUGGAGGACGACCAGGAGCUGCAGGACUUCGUGAAGGACGUUUAUAUGUACGGCAUGCGGGGCAAGAAGGCCUCAGGCUUCCCCAAGUCCAUCAAGACCAAGGAGAAGCUGUGUGAGUACCUGACCGUGGUGAUCUUUACGGCCUCAGCCCAGCAUGCGGCGGUGAACUUCGGCCAGCUGUUCCUGGGCAUGUACCCAGAGGAACAUUUCAUCGAGAAGCCCGUAAAGGAGGCCAUGGCCCGGUUCCGUAAGAACCUCGACUCCAUCGUCAGCGUGAUCGCCGAGCGCAACAAGAACAAGAAGCUGCCUUAUUACUACUUGUCCCCAGACCGGAUUCCCAAUAGCGUGGCCAUCUGA
rnacentral:lncRNA from 1 species